rnacentral:lncRNA from 1 species
UGGCCACGUCCCAAGUGUGUGAGGCCAUCGUGCUUCCAGCAAAGGACACGGGAGGGAUUCGGGGAAGGUCGUAGGUGGGACCUAGGGAGGGAGUCAUCGCCCGUCUGGUUGGCUCUGACUCGCUCUCUCUGGCGACGUCGUGUCCAGCCUUCCGUUGGGUCAGCUGCCAACAGAGGAGAGUCCUGGCCCAUCCCUUCGAGCACACUGUUCUUCUGGGAGGAGAACUGGCCCCCGGGGGGCUGCCCCCCCACCUCCCCACCCCAACAUCACACCCCGCCUUCUGACUCCCACCUCCUCUGGUCAGCUACUGUUUGGUUCAGCCUGAGUUCCUCCAGGACGCUGGAAGCAGGACGGCCCAUCAUUACUCACUGGUUUUCUCUCCAAGUCCCUGUGACGGAGCCAUAUGAGCUGUUCGCCCCCCAGUCCCUCCUGGUUUCCUGCAGGGACUCGAAUACUUGCCCGCACUCAGGACACUGUCCUACCUCCUGGGGUGAAAGCCAGCUAUCAGAAAAGGGACAAGUAGAAAAUUACUGCUUUAUUGCCUCUUCCUUUCUCUGCCCUCUGCCUGCCCCAGGUGUCUUUCAUUACAUUUGGGCAGAGGAGGGGAAAAGUGCUUACUUUACAGAAUGUGUUUUUUUAAAAAAAUAUUUUAUUUAUUUAUUCAUGAGAGACACACACACACACACAGAGGCAGAGACACAGGCAGAGGGAGAAGCAGGCUCCACGCAGGGAGCUCGAUGUGGGACUCGAUCCCGGGACUCCAGGAUCACGCCCUGGGCCGAAGGCAGGCGCCAAACUGCUGAGCCACCCAGGGAUACCUCAGAAUGUGUGUGUGUGUGUUUUAAAGAUGUUAUUUAUUUAUUCAUGAGAGACACAGAGAGAGAGAGAAUGAGAGAGAGACAGAGAGAGAGGCAGAGACACAGGCAGAGGGAAAGCAGGCUCCCUGCAGGGAGCCCGAUGUGGGACUCGAUCCCGGGACUUCAGGAUCACACCCUGGGCUGA